UAAUGUGAAUUGCAGAGCACGUUGAACAUUGACAAGUCGAACGCAUAUUGCGGCUUCGAAUUGGUUCGUAGCCACGUCUGUCUGAGGGUCGGUUAUGGUCAUGCCAGCGAAGCGCAGCGACACUGAUAAUGAUCUAGCAUACGUCGCCUGUUAGUUUCGCUUAAGCGCAAACGAUAGCUUUGCUUCUCGUAUGCGAAAAUUUUGCCACAUAUGCAAUCAGUACGAAUGGGUUGGCCAAUACGGAUGCGUAAGAUGCGUGUUUCCUAUGCCUUACUUCGCGGAUGCCGUUGCCCGCCUCCGUCUGAUUAAUUCCGGCGUGCGGUGC
rnacentral:rRNA from 1 species